rnacentral:rRNA from 1 species
UUGCCCUACGGGACGCAGCAGUCAGGAAUAUUGCGCAAUGGAGGAAACUCUGACGCAGUGACGCCGCGUAUAGGAAGAAGGUUUUCGGAUUGUAAACUAUUGUCAUUAGGGAAGAUAAAAGACUGUACCUAAGGAGGAAGCCCCGGCUAACUACGUGCCAGCAGCCGCGGUAAUACGUAGGGGGCUAGCGUUAUCCGGAAUUACUGGGCGUAAAGGGUGCGUAGGUGGUUUCUUAAGUCAGAGGUGAAAGGCUACGGCUCAACCGUAGUAAGCCUUUGAAACUGGGGAACUUGAGUGCAGGAGAG